GUCGAGCGGUAGCACAGAGAGCUUGCUCUCGGGUGACGAGCGGCGGACGGGUGAGUAAUGUCUGGGAAACUGCCUGAUGGAGGGGGAUAACUACUGGAAACGGUAGCUAAUACCGCAUAACGUCGCAAGACCAAAGUGGGGGACCUUCGGGCCUCAUGCCAUCAGAUGUGCCCAGAUGGGAUUAGCUAGUAGGUGGGGUAACGGCUCACCUAGGCGACGAUCCCUAGCUGGUCUGAGAGGAUGACCAGCCACACUGGAACUGAGACACGGUCCAGACUCCUACGGGAGGCAGCAGUGGGGAAUAUUGCACAAUGGGCGCAAGCCUGAUGCAGCCAUGCCGCGUGUGUGAAGAAGGCCUUCGGGUUGUAAAGCACUUUCAGCGGGGAGGAAGGCGGUGAGGUUAAUAACCUUGUCGAUUGACGUUACCCGCAGAAGAAGCACCGGCUAACUCCGUGCCAGCAGCCGCGGUAAUACGGAGGGUGCAAGCGUUAAUCGGAAUUACUGGGCGUAAAGCGCACGCAGGCGGUCUGUCAAGUCGGAUGUGAAAUCCCCGGGCUCAACCUGGGAACUGCAUUCGAAACUGGCAGGCUAGAGUCUUGUAGAGGGGGGUAGAAUUCCAGGUGUAGCGGUGAAAUGCGUAGAGAUCUGGAGGAAUACCGGUGGCGAAGGCGGCCCCCUGGACAAAGACUGACGCUCAGGUGCGAAAGCGUGGGGAGCAAACAGGAUUAGAUACCCUGGUAGUCCACGCCGUAAACGAUGUCGAUUUGGAGGUUGUGCCCUUGAGGCGUGGCUUCCGGAGCUAACGCGUUAAAUCGACCGCCUGGGGAGUACGGCCGCAAGGUUAAAACUCAAAUGAAUUGACGGGGGCCCGCACAAGCGGUGGAGCAUGUGGUUUAAUUCGAUGCAACGCGAAGAACCUUACCUGGUCUUGACAUCCACAGAACUUUCCAGAGAUGGAUUGGUGCCUUCGGGAACUGUGAGACAGGUGCUGCAUGGCUGUCGUCAGCUCGUGUUGUGAAAUGUUGGGUUAAGUCCCGCAACGAGCGCAACCCUUAUCCUUUGUUGCCAGCGGUUCGGCCGGGAACUCAAAGG
rnacentral:rRNA from 1 species